GGGGAUGUAAAGGUUUCGACGGGGGCACAGCAGCCCGAUAAGCGAGUCGCAGUUUGCCAAGUCUGCGUUAAAAAUGGCACGUUAAAUAUAAACGCUAAAAAUAAUAACACUUACGCAUUUGCUGCAUAAGCAGCCCGCUAUAUAGCGGAGCGUCGUCCACUUGCGCUCACCCGUAGGUGCAAGCAGGGCGCAGACAUACGGGAAAACUCUAUGUGAGCUCCUAGUAGCAUAGGGGAAUAAUAGGAUAGCAAGUUUGGGAGUGUGUCGUUGGACGCCCAAGCAAGCGAAAUUUAAAACAACGACUGUACUCGGAGAAAGUCGCGUGAAAGUGUUUUCGGACGCGAGUUCGACUCUCGCCAUCUCCACCA
rnacentral:tmRNA from 2 species